AUGAAGGGCAGAGGUGUCAAACUGAAUAAAGGGGAUGUAGCCAGAUUAUGGUUCGAUGAAUUGGAAGGAAGGGUUCCAUUUAAAGAAAAGUUUCCAGUGCUUUUUGAGAUUUGUGUUGAGCAAAACUGUACUGUUGAUAAAAUAGAAGAUCUAAAUCAUAUCACCUCCUUUAGGAGGAGGAUGUCUCCUGAGAUGAGGAGCCAAUGGGAUGAAAUGAAAAGGGAGGUACUGGCUCUCAAACAAAAUGAUUUACCUGAUGAAGUUUACUGGAAGUUUGAUAAGACUGGUUUAUAUUCAACCAAGUCAAUGUAUAGAUGGUUAGAAAAAGAUGUUGCUGGUUCCAAUUUCAAUUGGAUUUGGGAUGCUAAGCUCCCCUUGAAAAUACAAAUCUUCUUAUGGCAAGUGGGGCAUAAUGCCAUUUUGACUAGAGAUAAUAUGAAAAAAAAGAGCUUGGCCCGGAAACCCCGGUUGCUCCUUUUGCAACCAAUUGGAAACAACCCCGCACUUGUUGUUCCUGUGUCCGGUGUCUAG
rnacentral:rRNA from 1 species